rnacentral:rRNA from 1 species
UACGUAGGCAGCGAGCGUUGUUCGGAGUUACUGGGCGUAAAGCGUGCGUAGGCGGUGGCCCAAGUCUGGUGUGAAAUCUCCCGGCUUAACCGGGAGGGUGCGCCGGAAACUGGGUUGCUGGAGUGCCGGAGAGGCAGGCGGAAUUCCUGGUGUAGCGGUGAAAUGCGUAGAUAUCAGGAGGAACACCCGUGGUGUAGACGGCCUGCUGGACGGUAACUGACGCUGAGGCACGAAAGCGUGGGGAGCAAACAGGAUUAGAAACCCCCGUAGUCC